CCAGAGAAGCUAGGCUCAGGAAUGGACCGCAGACUCCUGAGGAGUUUUUCCACUUCCCCAAAAACGCAAGCUUCAGUCUGUGAUUGUUUUAAGACAACCGGAGGAGUGUCCUAACAAGUGCUCUGAGACCAGCUCAAGCUCAGCACAUACCUGUCAUCCUUCUGCUACUGUCAUCCAGAUGCCACUCUGCCUGAGGAACUGCGUCCCAAGCUGGGCUAUCUGGCUUAUCAAAGGCUCAUCCCAUGAUCUCUGACAUUUUCCUUGUCCUGGUUUGUCUAGAUCUCCAUCAAAACAACCACUCCCCGUGGUCACCUCUUCCAGGGGUGGGCGCAGCAAAAAAGGAUGAAUAAAAGUGAAAGACUGCAGACAGCGGUGGUACACGCCUUUGAUCCCAGCACUCAGGAGCCAGAGGCAGAGGCAGAGGAUCUCUGAGUUCCCGGCCAGCCUGCUCUAUAGAACAGAGUCUCAUGCAGCUUCUGCCUGGAAGUCGCAAAUGAAGCAAAGGCUGGCUUUAAGUUCCUGAUCCUCCUGGUUCCACCUCCUAAGCGCUGAGGUCACCAGUAUACACCACCACAUCCUGUCCCCCACUUAACUUGUUUUAAUAUCCACAAUUUAUACUUAAUGUUCUUGGCAUGUGAGCCAAACGGUUGCUAUGGCAACCUCUCUCGAUCCAAACAACCCUCUGAAACAGGUACUGUGUCUGCCACUCUAUGCUCGGGAGAAGUGAGCUCUGGGCAGAGAUGGGGCCUUCUUUUUUUUUUUU
rnacentral:sRNA from 1 species